CUACACAUGCAGCCGAGCGGUAGAGAUUCUUCGGAAUCUUGAGAGCGGCGUACGGGUGCGGAACACGUGUGCAACCUGCCUUUAUCAAGGGGAUAGCCUUUCGAAAGGAAGAUUAAUACCCUAUAAUAUAUUGACUGGCAUCAGUUAAUAUUGAAAACUACGGUGGAUAAAGAUGGGCACGCGCAAGAUUAGCUAGUUGGUGAGGUAACGGCUCACCAAGGCGACGAUCUUUAGGGGGCCUGAGAGGGUGAUCCCCCACACUGGUACUGAGACACGGACCAGACUCCUACGGGAGGCAGCAGUGAGGAAUAUUGGACAAUGGGUGGAAGCCUGAUCCAGCCAUCCCGCGUGUAGGAAGACGGCCCUAUGGGUUGUAAACUACUUUUAUCUGGGGAUAAACCUACUUACGUGUAAGUAGCUGAAGGUACCAGAUGAAUAAGCACCGGCUAACUCCGUGCCAGCAGCCGCGGUAAUACGGAGGGUGCAAGCGUUAUCCGGAUUUAUUGGGUUUAAAGGGUCCGUAGGCGGACUGAUAAGUCAGUGGUGAAAUCCGACAGCUUAACUGUCGAACUGCCAUUGAUACUGUUAGUCUUGAGUAAGGUUGAAGUGGCUGGAAUAAGUAGUGUAGCGGUGAAAUGCAUAGAUAUUACUUAGAACACCAAUUGCGAAGGCAGGUCACUAAGUCUUAACUGACGCUGAUGGACGGAAAGCGUGGGGAGCGAACAGGAUUAGAUACCCUGGUAGUCCACGCCGUAAACGAUGGAUUACUCGUUUUUGGGUUUUAGGAUUCAGAGACUAAGCGAAAGUGAUAAAGUAAUCCACCUGGGGAGUACGUUCGCAAGAAUGAAACUCAAAGGAAUUGACGGGGGCCCGCACAAGCGGGGGAGCAUGUGGGUUUA
rnacentral:rRNA from 1 species